rnacentral:rRNA from 1 species
UACAGAGGGUGCAAACGUUGCUCGGAAUUAUUGGGCGUAAAGCGUGCGCAGGCGGCUUUGCAAGACAGAUGUGAAAUCCCCGGGCUUAACCUGGGAACUGCAUUUGUGACUGCAUGGCUAGAGUGCGGCAGAGGGGGAUGGAAUUCCGCGUGUAGCAGUGAAAUGCGUAGAUAUGCGGAGGAACACCGAUGGCGAAGGCAAUCCCCUGGGCCUGCACUGACGCUCAUGCACGAAAGCGUGGGGAGCAAACAGG